AUUGAACGCUGGCGGCAGGCCUAACACAUGCAAGUCGAGCGGAUGAAGGGAGCUUUCUCCUGGCUUCAGCGGCGGACGGGUGAGUAAUGCCUAGGAAUCUGCCUGGUCUUGGGGGAUAACGUCCGGAAACGGGCGCUAAUACCGCAUACGUCCUGAUGUAGAACGGCGGGGAUCUUUGGACCUCACGCUAUCAGAUGAGCCUAGGUCGGAUUAGCUAGUUGGUUGGGUAAAGGCUUACCAAGGCGACGAUCCGUAACUGGUCUGAGAGGAUGAUCAGUCACACUGGAACUGAGACACGGUCCAGACUCCUACGGGAGGCAGCAGUAGGGAAUAUUGGACAAUGGGCGAAAGCCUGAUGCAGCCAUGCCGCGUGUGUGAAGAAGGUCUUCGGAUUGUAAAGCACUGUAAGUUGGGAGGAAGGGCAGUAAGUUAAUACAUGGAUGUUUUGACGGUACCAAAAGAAUAAGCACCGGCUAACUUCGUG
rnacentral:rRNA from 1 species